UUUCCGUAGGUGAACCUGCGGAAGGAUCAUUAUUGGAUUUUGAAACUUCAGGCUGCUGCUGGCUCUCCUCGGAGGGCAUGUGCACGCUUGUUGUCCAUUAUUUCUCCCACUGUGCACAAAUUGUAGACCUUUCAGUAGGCCUGUGUUGUUUUUCACAAUCUCUGAAUGUAAUAGAAUGGUUUUGAAUCUUGGGAAAUACAAUACAACUUUCAGCAACGGAUCUCUUGGCUCUC
rnacentral:misc_RNA from 1 species